GCUUUUGUGGUGUAACGGUAGCACAUUCGGCCUGCAUUCGAGAGGUCCAGGUUCGAGUUCCGGCGAGGGCA
rnacentral:tRNA from 1 species